AAAGAAUUCGCAGUCGAAUAACGAAGGAGUGUCUCCUUUAGUCAUUUAGGUCGAUUUUUAGGAGAUAGAGGACGUGAGAAGGGAGAAGAAAUCUGAAUCUCCCAUUAGGGUUUCUUCUAGUAGAUUGAUUCGUUGCCGAGAGUGAAGCUAAGAAGAGAUUUCGUUUCGUAGCUGUUUCGGUUUUCGGAUUUGGUGAUGGCGAACUUGGGAGGCGGUGCGGAAGCACAUGCCAGGUUCAAGCAGUAUGAGUACAGAGCCAAUUCUAGUCUGGUGUUAACUACUGAUAAUCGUCCUCGCGAUACUCAUGAGCCUACAGGAGAACCGGAAACUCUGUGGGGGAAAAUUGAUCCGAGGUCUUUUGGUGACCGUGUUGCUAAGGGGAGGCCUCAGGAGUUGGAGGAUAAGCUUAAAAAGUCUAAGAAGAAGGAACGUGAUGUUGUUGAUGAUACUGCUAAUGUUAGGCAGAGUAAGAGGCGUCGUCUAAGGGAAGAGAGCGUUCUAACUGAUACUGAUGAUGCGGUUUAUCAGCCAAAGACUAAGGAGACAAGGGCUGCUUAUGAGGCCAUGCUUAGUCUAAUUCAGCAGCAGUUGGGUGGGCAACCUCUGAGUAUUGUUAGUGGUGCUGCAGAUGAGAUUUUGGCUGUUCUCAAGAACGAUACAUUUAGAAACCCUGAGAAAAAGAUGGAGAUCGAGAAGUUGCUGAACCAUAUUGAAAACCAUGAGUUUGAUCAGCUUGUUUCCAUUGGAAAGUUGAUCACGGACUUUCAAGAGGGUGGUGAUUCUGGUGGUGGUAAAGCUGAUGAGGAAGAAGGACUAGAUGAUGAUUUGGGCGUGGCGGUUGAGUUUGAGGAGAAUGAAGAAGACGAUGAUGAGAGUGAUCCCGAUAUGGUUCAAGAGGAAGAUGAUGAGGAGGAUGAAGAGCCUACCAGAACUGGAGGCAUGCAGGUUGAUGCUGGGAUCAAUGAUCAGGAUGCAGGAGAUGCAAAUGAGGGCGCAAAUCUUAAUGUUCAAGACAUUGAUGCAUAUUGGCUCCAGAGAAAGAUCUCUCAAGCAUAUGAACAGCAGAUUGAUCCACAACAAUGCCAGGUACUUGCAGAAGAGCUGCUUAAGGUACUCGCUGAAGGGGAUGAUAGGGUUGUUGAGAACAAGCUGCUUAUGCACCUUCAGUUCGAAAAGUUUAGCCUUGUUAAGUUUCUGCUGCGGAAUCGUCUUAAAGUUGUGUGGUGCACUCGUUUGGCUAGGGCAGAAGACCAGGAAGAGAGGAAGAGAAUUGAGGAGGAGAUGAGGGGGUUGGGCCCAGAGUUGACUGCUAUUGUGGAGCAGUUGCAUGCAACAAGAGCAACAGCGAAAGAGAGGGAGGAGAACCUGCAAAAAAGUAUUAACGAAGAAGCCCGACGUUUGAAGGACGAAACUGGUGGAGAUGGAGGCAGACGCAGGAGAGAUGUUGCUGAUAGAGAUUCAGAGAGUGGCUGGGUGAAGGGUCAGCGUCAGAUGCUGGACCUGGAGAGCUUGGCUUUUGACCAAGGUGGUCUCCUGAUGGCGAAUAAGAAGUGUGACCUUCCCCCUGGCUCUUACAGAAGUCAUGGCAAGGGAUAUGAUGAAGUUCAUGUGCCAUGGGUUUCUAAAAAGGUCGAUAGCAAUGAGAAGCUUGUGAAGAUUACGGAAAUGCCUGAUUGGGCGCAACCGGCUUUUAAGGGAAUGCAACAGUUAAACAGGGUUCAGAGCAAAGUGUAUGACACUGCACUUUUUAAGGCAGAGAACCUUCUUCUUUGUGCUCCAACUGGUGCUGGGAAAACCAAUGUUGCUAUGCUCACCAUACUGCAGCAACUUGAAAUGAAUAGGAACAAAGAUGGAACUUAUAACCAUGGAGAUUACAAAAUUGUCUAUGUUGCACCCAUGAAAGCCCUUGUUGCUGAAGUUGUAGGUAAUUUGUCUAAUCGUCUGAAGGAUUAUGGAGUUACUGUGAGAGAACUCAGUGGGGAUCAGUCCCUAACCGGGAGAGAAAUUGAAGAGACUCAGAUAAUUGUUACCACACCAGAGAAAUGGGAUAUCAUCACUAGGAAGUCUGGAGACCGAACUUACACUCAGCUUGUAAGACUUCUUAUAAUUGAUGAAAUUCAUCUCCUUCAUGAUAAUCGAGGGCCUGUGCUUGAAAGCAUUGUCGCUAGGACUCUUAGGCAAAUUGAAACCACGAAAGAGAAUAUUCGUCUGGUUGGUUUAUCUGCUACACUGCCAAAUUAUGAAGACGUGGCCUUGUUUUUGCGGGUUGAUCUUAAGAAAGGUUUGUUUAAAUUUGACCGCAGCUACAGACCCGUGCCUCUCCAUCAGCAGUAUAUUGGAAUCAGUGUGAAGAAACCGUUGCAGAGGUUCCAGUUGAUGAAUGAUCUAUGUUAUCAGAAAGUUUUGGCAGGUGCUGGAAAGCACCAGGUCCUUAUUUUUGUUCAUUCAAGGAAGGAAACAGCGAAAACUGCUAAAGCAAUACGGGACACUGCAAUGGCAAACGAUACCCUCAGCAGAUUCUUGAAGGAAGAUAGUGUAACUCGUGAAGUUCUCCAGAGUCAUGUUGACAUUGUUAAAAAUGGUGAGCUGAAAAAUAUUCUGCCUUACGGUUUUGCAAUUCAUCAUGCUGGGUUAACAAGGGGUGAUCGUGAGAUCGUUGAGAAUCUUUUUGCUCAGGGGCAUGUGCAAGUCUUGGUUUCCACAGCAACUCUCGCAUGGGGUGUGAAUCUGCCUGCACAUACCGUUAUUAUAAAAGGAACCCAGGUGUAUAAUCCUGAAAAAGGGGCGUGGAUGGAGCUGAGUCCUCUAGAUGUUAUGCAGAUGCUUGGUCGUGCUGGAAGACCUCAGUAUGAUCGACAUGGGGAGGGUAUAAUUAUCACUGGCUACAGCGAGCUGCAAUAUUAUCUUUCUUUGAUGAAUGAGCAACUACCUAUUGAAAGCCAGUUUAUUUCCAAACUUGCUGACCAGCUUAAUGCUGAAAUUGUGCUUGGAACCGUUCAGAAUGCUAGAGAGGCUUGCCAUUGGCUUGGUUAUACGUAUUUAUAUAUCCGUAUGGUUCGUAAUCCAACGCUGUAUGGCUUAGCGCCUGAUGCCCUUGCAAAAGACGUAGUGUUGGAGGAGAGAAGAGCUGACCUGAUACAUUCGGCUGCUACUAUCUUGGACAAAAACAACUUGGUUAAGUAUGACAGGAAAAGUGGAUACUUCCAAGUUACAGAUUUGGGACGCAUUGCUAGCUACUAUUACAUAACCCAUGGGACCAUAGCUACAUACAAUGAGCAUUUGAAGCCAACAAUGGGUGAUAUAGAUCUUUAUCGUCUGUUCUCCCUGAGUGAAGAGUUCAAGUAUGUGACGGUUCGGCAAGAUGAGAAGAUGGAACUGGCGAAACUUUUGGAUCGUGUCCCGAUUCCGAUCAAGGAAACUUUGGAGGAGCCCAGUGCAAAAAUAAAUGUAUUGCUGCAGGCAUAUAUUUCACAGCUAAAGCUUGAGGGUCUUUCUUUGACAUCUGACAUGGUUUACAUUACUCAGAGUGCUGGACGUCUUGUGCGAGCUCUUUAUGAAAUUGUAUUGAAGCGGGGAUGGGCUCAACUGGCAGAGAAGGCUCUGAACUUGUCUAAAAUGGUUGGGAGGAGGAUGUGGAGUGUCCAGACACCCCUGCGUCAGUUUCAUGGAAUCCCCAAUGAUAUUUUAAUGAACUUGGAGAAGAAGGAUUUGGUGUGGGAGAGGUACUAUGAUCUAUCCUCACAGGAGCUAGGAGAGCUUAUUCGUAGUCCUAAGAUGGGCAGGCCGCUUCACAAGUUCAUUCACCAGUUCCCAAAAUUGACUCUUUCUGCACAUGUUCAGCCUAUUACUCGCACUGUUCUGAAGGUGGAGCUCACAGUUACACCUGAUUUCCUGUGGGACGAGAAAAUUCAUAAAUAUGUUGAGCCGUUUUGGAUAAUUGUGGAAGACAAUGAUGGUGAAAAGAUCCUUCAUCACGAGUAUUUUCUUUUGAAGCAGCAGUAUAUUGAUGAGGAUCACACUUUGAAUUUCACUGUGCCAAUCUUUGAACCGCUGCCACCUCAGUAUUUUGUUCGAGUGGUUUCAGACAAGUGGCUUGGCUCCGAGACUGUGUUGCCUGUAUCUUUCAGGCAUCUUAUUCUUCCAGAAAAGUAUCCACCUCCGACUGAGCUACUGGACUUGCAGCCUCUCCCAGUGACGGCGCUAAGGAAUCCGAAUUAUGAGAUACUCUAUCAGGAUUUCAAGCAUUUCAAUCCAGUGCAGACUCAGGUCUUUACUGUUUUGUAUAACACUAACGACAAUGUGUUGGUUGCUGCUCCAACGGGAAGUGGCAAAACUAUUUGUGCAGAGUUCGCUAUUUUGAGGAAUCAUCAAGAAGGACCUGAUGCUACAAUGCGUGUUGUUUAUAUUGCACCGCUUGAGGCUAUUGCCAAGGAGCAGUUUCGUAUCUGGGAGGGGAAGUUUGGGAAGGGUCUUGGUUUACGGGUUGUUGAGCUAACUGGGGAGACAGCAUUGGAUCUUAAGCUGCUUGAGAAAGGCCAGAUAAUCAUAAGUACUCCUGAGAAAUGGGAUGCUCUUUCCCGCAGGUGGAAACAGAGAAAAUACGUUCAACAAGUUAGUCUUUUCAUCGUCGACGAACUCCAUCUAAUUGGAGGUCAAGGUGGUCCAGUGUUGGAGGUAAUCGUCUCCAGAAUGAGAUAUAUAUCAAGUCAGGUCAAUAAUAAGAUCAGGAUUGUUGCGCUAUCCACUUCACUUGCAAAUGCAAAAGAUCUUGGGGAGUGGAUUGGGGCCAGUUCCCACGGCCUUUUCAACUUCCCUCCCGGCGUCCGUCCUGUUCCACUGGAGAUCCACAUUCAGGGAGUGGAUAUAUCCAGUUUUGAAGCCAGGAUGCAGGCGAUGACCAAGCCAACCUACACCGCCAUAGUUCAGCACGCAAAGAACAAGAAGCCGGCUAUUGUUUUCGUCCCAACCCGUAAACAUGUCCGCUUGACUGCUGUGGAUCUAAUGGCUUAUUCUCACAUGGAUAACCCGCAGAGUCCUGAUUUCUUGUUAGGGCAACUGGAAGAACUGGACCCUUUUGUUAGCCAAAUCCGCGAGGAAACACUGAAGGAAACACUGCGUCAUGGUAUUGGGUACCUGCAUGAGGGUUUAAGCAGUCUUGAUCAGGAGAUUGUGACACAGCUCUUUGAAGCUGGACGGAUUCAGGCUUGUGUGAUGAGCAGUUCAUUGUGUUGGGGUACUCCAUUAACUGCGCAUUUGGUGGUCGUAAUGGGGACACAGUAUUACGAUGGGAGGGAAAAUUCACAUUCUGAUUAUCCCGUCCCUGAUCUGCUUCAGAUGAUGGGGCGUGCUAGCCGACCACUUCUUGACAAUGCUGGGAAGUGUGUGAUCUUUUGUCAUGCACCGCAGAAAGAGUAUUACAAGAAGUUUCUGUACGAAGCCUUCCCUGUGGAAAGUCAGCUCCAGCAUUUCUUGCAUGAUAAUUUCAACGCAGAAGUGGUUGCUGGGGUUAUAGAGAACAAGCAAGAUGCCGUGGAUUAUCUUACAUGGACUUUCAUGUACAGGAGGCUUCCCCAGAACCCUAACUACUACAAUCUCCAAGGUGUUAGCCACAGGCAUUUGUCUGAUCACCUCUCAGAGCUGGUUGAGAACACCUUGUCUAAUCUUGAAGCCAGUAAAUGCAUUGAGAUAGAGGAUGAGAUGGAACUCUCUCCUCUCAACCUUGGUAUGAUUGCAUCCUAUUACUACAUCAGUUAUACCACCAUUGAGCGCUUCAGUUCACUGUUGUCUUCUAAAACCAAGAUGAAGGGACUUCUUGAGAUCUUAACAUCAGCUUCGGAGUAUGACAUGAUUCCUAUACGGCCUGGUGAGGAGGACACUGUUCGAAGAUUAAUCAAUCACCAGAGGUUCUCUUUUGAAAACCCAAAAUGCACAGACCCUCAUGUGAAGGCAAACGCGCUUCUUCAGGCGCAUUUCUCAAGGCAAAACAUUGGCGGGAACUUGGCAAUGGAUCAGCGUGAUGUCCUUCUAUCUGCAACCAGACUUCUUCAAGCGAUGGUCGAUGUGAUAUCAAGCAAUGGCUGGCUGAAUCUUGCUCUGUUAGCUAUGGAAGUAAGCCAGAUGGUGACUCAAGGCAUGUGGGAGCGGGACUCCAUGCUUCUGCAGCUCCCUCACUUCACAAAGGACUUGGCCAAGAGGUGCCAAGAGAAUCCGGGGAAAAACAUUGAAACCGUAUUCGAUCUUGUGGAGAUGGAGGACGAAGAACGCCAAGAGCUUCUCAAGAUGUCAGACGCUCAGCUUCUAGACAUUGCCAGAUUCUGCAACCGCUUCCCAAACAUCGACCUUACUUACGAGAUUGUGGGCAGUGAAGAGGUGAACCCAGGGAAAGAGGUUACAUUGCAAGUGAUGCUUGAGAGAGACAUGGAGGGGAGGACAGAAGUGGGACCUGUGGAUUCACUCAGGUAUCCCAAGACCAAAGAAGAAGGAUGGUGGCUGGUCGUGGGCGACACCAAGACGAACCAGUUGCUGGCAAUCAAGCGUGUCUCAUUGCAACAGAAAGCGAAGGUGAAGCUGGAUUUCACAGUACCGAGUGAACCAGGAGAGAAGUCAUACACACUAUACUUCAUGUGUGACUCUUACUUGGGGUGUGACCAAGAGUACUCUUUCUCUGUUGAUGUCAAAGGAUCUGGCGCUGGAGAUCACAUGGAAGAAUGAUUUGUUGUUCAGCUCGCUUUCAUCUAUCGUGUGAAUAAUUUGUUCAUCAAGCUGCGGCGUGUUAGUUUUUCUGCUUCUGUUUUUUUCUUUUUUGCAUGAGGCAUAUGCUGAUUCUGGAGAGUGGGUAAACUUGUCUUCCGUUAGGGUCUCUGCAAUCUCAACUUUCCAAGAAUAGAUAUUAAGGUGUAAUCGUUGUCCUGGUCUUUUACCAUUCCUUGACCUCUGGCAAUACUAAAACGAAACCAUUGAGAUUACUCAUUUUAUGUCAUGCAUCGAGUUUUAGCCUAUGUAUGGGAUUGUUUCUGGUUUUGUUUGGACCGAACUCGAGAGAGGAGCCAAUGUCAAAACUACGAUUUGAGUUUAUGACUUUGAAAGCUGAGAUUGCUUAAAAGAAUUUUAAAUGCAGCAGUGUUCAUUUUGUAA